AACUACAAAGUAAACUUUUCUCAGCCAUAUAUAUUUGUUUACCUCCCUCAUUUAGUAAGCUGAUUGGCUAUUGGUGAUACUAUGUUUACGUAUUGUAGCUUGCUAUAGAAUGCUAUUGCAGCCGUUUGUUAAAUAUGUUCACUCCUUAACUCACAUGUGGCUUUUAAGGCUUCAUCUGUCUAUUUUAAUAUUAUAAGCA
rnacentral:lncRNA from 1 species